ensembl:lncRNA
AGAUAGGGAUAUUGAGGCCAAGAGGGGGCCCGGGACUUGUUCAAGAUCAUACAAGCGAGCUCCACGCACUGGCUCAGCUGUCCCGUCUUCUGCAGAGGACUCCUAGGUGGUGUGACUGCAGCCACAGAAUUAAAAGAUGCUUGCUCCUUGGAAGGAAAGCUAUGACAAAGCUAGACAGCAUAUUAAAAAGCAGAGACAUCUCUUUGCCCACAAAGAUCUGUAUAGUCAAAGUUAUGGUUUUUCCAGUAGUCAUGUACGGGUGUGAGAGUUGGACCAUAAAGAGGGCUGAAUGCCAAAGAAUUGAUGCACUCGAAUUGUGGUGCUAGAGAAGACUCUUGAGAGUCCACUGGACUACAACAAGAUCAAACCAGUCAAUCCUAAAGGAAAUCAACCCUGAAUAUUCACUGGAAGGACUUAUGCUGAAGCUGAAGCUCCAAUAACUUUAGCCAUCUGAUGCAAAGACCCUGAUGCUGGGAAAGAUGGAAGGCAAAAAGAGAAGGGGGUGCAGAGGAUGAGAUGAUUAGACAGCAACACCAACUCAGUAGACAUGAGUUGGAGCAAACUCCAGGAGAUAGUGAAGGACCGGGAAGCCUGGCACGCUGCAGUCCAUGGGAUUGCAAAGAGCUGGACACAACUUACCAACUGAACAACAGCAACAACAUGUAUAUGUAUACCUGAUUCACUUUGCUGUACAGAGGAAACUAACACAAUAUUGUAAAUCAAUUAUAUGCCAAUAAAAAUUAAUUUAAAAAUCCUCA